rnacentral:rRNA from 1 species
GACGAACGCUGGCGGCGUGCCUAACACAUGCAAGUCGAACGGGGUGAAGAGCUUCGGCUUUUCACUUAGUGGCGAACGGGUGAGUAACGCGUGAGAAACCUGCCUUUCAGUGGGGGACAACAGUUGGAAACGACCGCUAAUACCGCAUAAUGCAUUUAGGGGGCGAUCCCUUGAAUGCCAAAGCUUUAUGUGCUGAAAGAUGGUCUUGCGUCUGAUUAGCUAGAUGGCGGGGUAACGGCCCACCAUGGCGACGAUCAGUAGCCGGUCUGAGAGGAUGAACGGCCACAUUGGGACUGAGAUACGGCCCAG